UUAAAAAAAAAAAAAUUGAAAACAAUAGUCUCUUUGUGUGUCAGGUAAGAACAGAGGACGGAGAAGAGAGUCUGAGAGCACCAAGCUUUAGAAACCAUGUCGGAUCCGUACGGGCGCGUGAAAGGAGACAGACUGACAUUCAAAGGUGGGGUUUUGGCCACGCGCAGCAAAACAAUUGAGAAAAAGAAGAAGAAGAAGAAGAAGAACAAGCAGCACAAUCAAAACCCUAACCCUGACCAUCACGACGCCGUUGAUGGUGUGGAGGUCGAUCCUUCUGCGUCCGUCGUCGUCGGCGACGACGACUCCACAGCCGGUGCCGGUGUCGAGUAUACAAUCGAUGCCGCGAAGCGAAUGAAGUACGACGAGCUUUUCCCCGUCGAGGCUAAGAAGUUCGGGUACGAACCGAAAUCCAAAGCCAAGUCGGUGGAGUCCGCUCUUGACGACCGUGUCAAGAAGAAGGCCGAUCGCUACUGUAAAUGAUUUUUGCUUCUUAGCUUUAACGCUCCAUUGAGUUUUCUGCACACUCUUUGAUGAAGACUGGUUUGAAAGAUUAGCUGGCGGUGAACAUUUAUCUUUGGUUGAGUUUAAGGAUUUUUCAGCUUUUACUAGUACUGAAAAGUAUACAACACCCUCUUCGACCUAGGCUCAUAUCCCUCCUUCAAGUUUUGCGCUACUGACGGAUAACUUGGCUGUUUCUAUGAAGUUAAAAAGUUUUCACUGGAAUCCCCUAGUCUUAAAUCUGUAAUUGUAAACCAUGACCCACCAAUACACCUUGAAUUCUGCUGUUGCUUCAAACUUUGUCAAUUCAUUAUGGAUGGCAAAUUUAGUAGUUCCAGAAUAAGUUAUGCUUGUAGUAUGUCAGUGGAAUGUACCUUCGAGAGUGGCUUUUCUUCAGAUACUUUGAAUCAAGUAGUAGGGCAUAUGGCAAAUUGUUACGACGACUGCAAAAAGAAUUAUUAAUCUUCUACUUCUUUUCUUCGAUGUUGUAAUAGUAUAUUGUAGUUAUAAAAAUUUAGAGGUAAGUUUCUAAUACGUCAUCAAAUUAAUGAAUGAUUUAAAUUAGACA